GGGGAUAUAGCUCAAUUGGUAGAGUGCUUGCCUCGGAUGCAUAAGGCCUGGGUUAAAUCGCCAGCACCACUA
rnacentral:tRNA from 1 species